rnacentral:rRNA from 1 species
UACGUAGGUGGCAAGCGUUGUCCGGAUUUACUGGGCGUAAAGAGCGCGCAGGCGGUCGUGCAAGUCGCGUGUGAAAGCCCCCGGCUCAACUGGGGAGGGUCACGCGAUACUGCUCGACUUGAAGGCAGGAGAGGGAAGCGGAAUUCUCGGUGGAGCGGUGAAAUGCGUUGAUAUCGGAAGGAACGCCGGUGGCGAAAGCGACCUGCUGGAUCUCUACUGACGCUGAGGCGCGAAAGCCAGGGAGCAAACAGG